GGUUAAAAAAACUUGCUCAACAUCACAUGGUGGGACUCAGCAUGCUGACUUCAGGUUAGCCGUUCUAUCCCAUGAAGAAACGGACCCUCUCGUGGGUCGUUGAUGGUCCAUUAUGAUUGCAUCUUUCCUGGUCUCAUCCUUAGAAUAGUCUCAUUGGAGACUGAUCCAGACAAAUAAUCCUCAAGGAACUGCUUUUUUCUUUUUGUUGGAACAGAUUUUAACCGGACCACUAAUGUCAGAAAGGACACCAAUACACUCAGUGGAGAGCUGCUGCUCAUUUUCCCUGUGCAAGAUGCAGAAAUCUGGAAUUCAAAGAGGCUUUGCAGAGUUUAGAGCAUAUUCUACCCAACUGGCCCCAGAUGGAAAAUACUCUUUUGAAAUUGGAUGGCUUUUUAAGUGUAGCUCUCCACAGCCUGCUCAAGGAAAAAAAAAAAUUCAUACAUUGAAGAUUAGCAAUAGUUUGUGUCUGGAAAUCAGCUGGCAACACCAGGAAUGACAAUAAAGGCAAGUCCUCCAGGGUUAGCUCAAUAAAAAGUGAAUCCUCCUUGCUCAACUCAUGUA
rnacentral:lncRNA from 1 species